GACGUAGGGCGCGAGCGUUGUCCGGAUUUAUUGGGCGUAAAGAGCUCGUAGGCGGCUUGUUGCGUCGACGUGUGAAAACCCGCGGCUUAACUGCGGGCUUGCAGUUGAUACGGGCAGGCUAGAGUUCGGUAGGGGAGACUGGAAUUCCUGGUGUAGCGGUGAAAUGCGCAGAUAUCAGGAGGAACACCGGUGGCGAAGGCGGGUCUCUGGGCCGAUACUGACGCUGAGGAGCGAAAGCGUGGGGAGCGAACAGG
rnacentral:rRNA from 1 species